AGUUGUGCAAUAUGGAAACUUUGUCAAAACUGAACUUUCACUGAAGGAAAAUGACAACAGAACCAAAGCCUUGACUACAGUUGCAGACAUAAAGCAAAUCAAACAGGUCACCAUGACAGCUUCAGCAAUCAAUCACGUUCUAGAACACAUUUUUGUCAAAGAAGAUGGAUCAAAUGAGAAUUCUAAAAAAUAUAUAAUUGUGAUAACUGAUGGACGUAUAUAUAUGGACAGAAUGACACUGAAAGAGGUUUUGCAAAACCCCAAAAUAGAAAAGAUCACCCGCUUUGCUAUUGGGAGAACAAUGCACAUCAACAAUCUUUCCCAUCCCUUCCACCUCACAGACACCAAUAAGGACAGAUGAUGUGGGUGAUGAUGAUGAAGAUGAUGAUGAAGACGAAGAGGAGAAAUAAGUUUGUCCAUGAUUUCCCUUUUAGAGAACAAUGCACAUCAUCAAGCUAUGAAUAAGGACUGAUGGUAAAUCUUAUCAUGUUUUCAAUACAAUGUAAUGCAUUUGACAACGUAAACCCAUAAAACAAUCCUUUUGUUGUGGGUGGGUGGUGUGGGUGAAGAUGAUGAU